GAUGAACGCUAGCUACAGGCUUUAACACAUGCAAGUCGAGGGGAAACGAUAUUGGAAGCUUGCUUCCGAUAGGCGUCGACCGGCGCACGGGUGAGUAAACGCGUAUCCAACCUGCCCGUCACUUGGGAAUAACCUUGCGAAAGUAAGACUAAUGCCCAAUGACAUUUAUAGAAGGCAUCUGAAAUGAAUUAAAGAUUUAUCGGUGAUGGAUGGGGAUGCGUCUGAUUAGCUUGUUGGCGGGGUAACGGCCCACCAAGGCGACGAUCAGUAGGGGUUCUGAGAGGAAGGUCCCCCACAUUGGAACUGAGACACGGUCCAAACUCCUACGGGAGGCAGCAGUGAGGAAUAUUGGUCAAUGGGCGAGAGCCUGAACCAGCCAAGUAGCGUGCAGGAAGACGGCCCUAUGGGUUGUAAACUGCUUUUAUAGGGGAAUAAAGUGAGCCACGUGUGGCUUUUUUGCAUGUACCCUAUGAAAUAAAGGACCGGCUAAUUCCGUACCAGCCGCCGCGGUAAC
rnacentral:rRNA from 1 species